AAUGAACGCUGGCGGCAGGCCUAACACAUGCAAGUCGAACGGGAUCUUCGGAUCUAGUGGCGGACGGGUGAGUAACGCGUGGGAACGUGCCCUUUGCUUCGGAAUAGCCCCGGGAAACUGGGAGUAAUACCGGAUGUGCCCUUUGGGGGAAAGAUUUAUCGGCAAAGGAUCGGCCCGCGUUGGAUUAGGUAGUUGGUGGGGUAAUGGCCUACCAAGCCGACGAUCCAUAGCUGGUUUGAGAGGAUGAUCAGCCACACUGGGACUGAGACACGGUCCAGACUCCUACGGGAGGCAGCAGUGGGGAAUUUUCCGCAAUGGGCGAAAGCCUGACGGAGCAAUACCGCGUGAGGGAAGAAUGCCUAUGGGUUGUAAACCUCUUUUUUUCAGGGUAGGAAUAAAAUGACGUGUACCUGAAGAAUAAGCAUCGGCUAACUCCGUG
rnacentral:rRNA from 1 species